AAUAUUUUUUACGGCAGUUUUUAGAACCGCCGUGUAUACUACAUAUAUACGGCGGUUAAAAACCGCCGUCUAAUCUAUGCACACAUGCC